AGAGCUUAGCUGAUUGGUGAGCACUGAUCCCUGCUAUGUGUUGUUCACAGUGGCUAAGUUCAGU
rnacentral:pre_miRNA from 1 species